GUGUACUUAGCUCAAUGGUUAACUUAGAGCAUCACUCAUGAAUGCUGAGUAUGUGAGUUUGACUCUCACAGUACACA
rnacentral:tRNA from 1 species